CGAAUCGGAUAUGCGUGAGCAAUCACGCGAAACUCGCCUGUAAUCCCGGCAUCAUCGCGAAAGCGGUGUGGCGACUUCACUUCUGCCUUCAGGCAGCCUUCA
rnacentral:ncRNA from 1 species